CAUAGCGACUAUCGUGGCAUAUCAAUAAGCGGAGGAAAAGAAACUAACUAGGAUUCCCUCAGUAACGGCGAGUGAAGCGGGAAGAGCUCAAAUUUGAAAUCUUCAAGGUUCUACCUUGACGAAUUGUAGUUUAUAGAAGUGUUUUCUGUAGUGGAGUUUGGUAAAAGUUCUUUGGAAUAGGACAUCAUAGAGGGUGAGAAUCCCGUAUUUGGACCAUUAUUUCCUAGCGUUGUGAUACACUUUCAAGGAGUCGGAUUGUUUGGGAAGUGCAGUCCAAAAUGGGUGGUAAAUUUCAUCUAAAGCUAAAUACUGGCGAGAGACCGAUAGCGAACAAGUACCGUGAGGGAAGGAUGAAAAGAACUUUGAAAAGAGAGUUAAACAGUACGUGAAAUUGUCAAAAGGGAAGCGUUUGACACCAGUGUUGUUUUCUCGAAAAUCAAUUAAGAAUGUCUUGAUUUUGAGGUUGUAUUGACCUUAAUAGGCUUGCUGCACUUUUUUCAUGUAACUUUUUAAUGCACUUUUCGGUUAUCAAGUCAACAUCAAUUUCUUUUGUUGUAAAAAGGGUCAUUGAGGAAGGUGGCUUUCUUUUCGGAGAAAGUGUUUAUAGCCUUUGUACCUCCUGCAAUCGGAGAGACUGAGGUCUGCAGCGUAGAUCCUUCUUGGGAUUAGAUUCAUUUGUGCUAAGUUAUAGCUUUUAUAGACAACUUGUUGACUAUAGUUUAGUCUUGUAGCUUACUCGCUUAGGCUAUUUUACCUACGCUUAGGAUGUUGACGAGACUGUCGAUCUC
rnacentral:rRNA from 1 species